rnacentral:lncRNA from 1 species
AACAUUAAGGAACCUUUCAUCUUCUUCAAAUCUCCUACUGACCUACAAAUCCUGUAAUGAAUUGCAAAUAUUAAAAGGGCUUUCGGUAUCAAUACCCAAGUAGUAGAAUUACAAAUUAAGAAAUUACAAGGUGUUAUCAUAUAAUUACCUUGUCCAGUAAUAACUUGCUUCUUUCUCGGCUUGUUCGGAUCCAGGGAGGUAGUGUAUUGAGAAUAAUUCCUCUUUUAGUGCCCCUUC